rnacentral:rRNA from 1 species
GACGAACGCUGGCGGCGUGCCUAACACAUGCAAGUCGAGCGGAGAUACAUUGAAGAUUUAUCGGAUAUGUAUCUUAGCGGCGGACGGGUGAGUAACGCGUGGGUAACCUGCCUUAUACAGGGGGAUAACACAGGGAAACUUGUGCUAAUACCGCAUAAUAUCAUUGUAUGGCAUCAUAUGGUGAUCAAAGGAGCAAUCCGGUAUAAGAUGGACCCGCGUCCAAUUAGCUAGUUGGUGGUGUAACGGACCACCAAGGCGACGAUUGGUAGCCGAACUGAGAGGUUGAUCGGCCACAUUGGGACUGAGACACGGCCCAGACUCCUACGGGAGGCAGCAGUGGGGAAUAUUGCACAAUGGGGGAAACCCUGAUGCAGCAAUGCCGCGUGAAGGAUGAAGGUUUUCGGAUCGUAAACUUCUUUGAUGAGGGACGAAUAAUGACGGUACCUCAAGAACAAGCCACGGCUAACUACGUGCCAGCAGCCGACG